AACGAACGCUGGCGGCAGGCUUAACACAUGCAAGUCGAACGGCUGUAGCAAUACAGCAGUGGCAGACGGGUGAGUAACACGUGGGAACCUUCCUAGGGGCACGGAACAACUCAGGGAAACUUGAGCUAAUACCGUAUACGUCCGUGAGGAGAAAGACUUAUCGCCCUUAGACGGGCCCGCGUCGGAUUAGCUAGUUGGUGGGGUAAUGGCCUACCAAGGCGACGAUCCGUAGCUGAUCUUAGAGGAUGAUCAGCCACACUGGGACUGAGACACGGCCCAGACUCCUACGGGAGGCAGCAGUGGGGAAUCUUGGACAAUGGGCGCAAGCCUGAUCCAGCCAUGCCGCGUGAGUGAAGAAGGUCUUCGGAUUGUAAAGCUCUUUUGCCAGGGACGAUAAUGACGGUACCUGGAGAAUAAGCCCCGGCAAACUUCGUGCCAGCCGCCGCAGUAAUAC
rnacentral:rRNA from 1 species